GAAUAUAAACAAAAAAAAUAAAGUGACUAAAGGUUAAAGAAGGCACCUAAAUAAGACGUCCUCCGCAAUUUUUACCAUCCAGACAUUGAUUUUCUAAAUCGACAUACAAGAAGAUUGUAUCAUGCGUUCGAAUCCUAUUUCCUCCGGUACGGAAAUAAAAGGGGCGGGCGAAAUUACGUGAGAGAAAGCACCUCUUGGUAGAGUCCAAUCUCCC
rnacentral:lncRNA from 1 species